rnacentral:rRNA from 1 species
GAUGAACGCUGGCGGCGUGCUUAACACAUGCAAGUCGAACGAAGCACUUUAUUUGAUUUCCUUCGGGACUGAUUAUUUUGUGACUGAGUGGCGGACGGGUGAGUAACGCGUGGGUAACCUGCCUUGUACAGGGGGAUAACAGUUGGAAACGGCUGCUAAUACCGCAUAAGCGCACAGCAUCGCAUGAUGCAGUGUGAAAAACUCCGGUGGUAUAAGAUGGACCCGCGUUGGAUUAGCUAGUUGGUGAGGUAACGGCCCACCAAGGCGACGAUCCAUAGCCGACCUGAGAGGGUGACCGGCCACAUUGGGACUGAGACCCGGCCCAAACUCCUACGGGAGGCAGCAGUGGGGAAUAUUGCACAAUGGGCGAAAGCCUGAUGCAGCGACGCCGCGUGAGCGAAGAAGUAUUUCGGUAUGUAAAGCUCUAUCAGCAGGGAAGAUAAUGACGGUACCUGACUAAGAAGCACCGGCUAAAUACGUG